UUUGUCAAUUCUCAUAUUUGGAAACAUAGAAAGUGAAAGAGUUCAAUUCUUUGAACUUAAAAAAAUGAAUGAUUUUAAAAGAAAUAGAAAUCAUACCAAGUAAUUCAAUUCAAUUCUUUUCUUACAUAUGAUUUGUUUUAAAGGAAGCCUAUACGUAUUUACUUUCUUGUUCAAAUGCGGGAUGUUUUAUGAUUGCAAAGGACCAUGUAAUUGCUACUCCAGAUUUCAUUGAAAUCCCAGUAAAGACUGAAAGUGGGUUUACAUUUUUGGUGUUUACAUCUUCAAGAAUUCCGAUUAAUAUGUAAUACCCAUAAGAUGGUUUGAUUUUCUUCCGUGGUGAAGAUCCUUUGACCCUUAGGAAUUGUCAUUUAUUUCUUUGUAUGAGAGACACUUGUUGCUCCGCAUUUUAGUAGACAGUUUUUUAGAUUUGGUUCUCUGAAACUUCAAUCAACAUUUAGAGGCCUCUAAUCAUAAAAGCUUAUGGGAAUAGCUUAUUCCUCUUCAUUAUCAUUUGCUAUGAGUUGAUUAUCUAACUUACAAUAUGGUUUGGAGAAUGUCUUGGUAUUUUGAUUGUUGCAUGACAUGCAAAUCCUAAUACUAUAAAUGUAAGCGCUCAAAUCAGCCUAGAUUAAGCUUUUUACCCUAGCAUUGGUGUGAAAAGUAUGAUGUAGAUCUGAAUAUGGAUGGUCAUUGUUUGGUUCAUCACCUUGUAGGUCAAAUGUGAAAACUGCUAGUUGUUGGAAAAACACAUUUGCAACUGGAUUUUUGUAGAAGGCCUAGCCAUUUUUAUGACCUGUUUGUUUGACUGAGAAUUGCGAUUUCUGUAAUCCUGCAGGGGCACGUGAAUUUGUAAGGGUAACACGGAAAUCUGAACCUGAUGAUCUAAUGAACUCUGCAAUUGCAGGGUUUGGUAGUGGUGCUCUUCUUGGACGUCUUCAAGGUUAAGUGCAGAUGCUAUUUUUUUCCCCAUGUAUUAUUUUGUAAAUAAUUUUGGAAUAUUUAAUUUGCAUUAGAUUUAAAGUUAGACAAUUUAGAUAGGGGCCAUAAAUGAGUAAGUUCAAUGCCUAAAACUAUCUUCUUUGGUUUCUCCCUUAUCAUGGAGUGGUAUUUUUCUCUGGCUUUACAUGUGGUUUUGUCUGUUUUAUGGUGAUCCAUCUAUAAGGUUGAAGGUUGAAAUCCUUGUUCCACCCAUAUAAUGGCAAAUCCCAAACAUUUUUUCUUGGAUAGGAUGAAUUCAUUGGAUUGGGAUAUAGACUGACAGGAUCUAGAUAUUGAAGUUCAACUGAGCUGGAACUCCCCGAUAAUAUCUAUUCAAGAUCAAAAUGAAGAAAGUAGUGGUUAUGUGGGUGUACAUUUAUUUCAUUUCAACUUGAUGCCUUUAAGCAAUGAAAAUCUUAGUUCAUCAUAUUUUACUUAUCUGCAUCUUCGUCUGUUUAAUCUCCCUUUGGCUGUUAUAGUUAAAAUGUUGGGUUUUUUUUGCCCUUGAUGUUUUAGGUGGUCAAUUCGGUGCCUUCCGUUACUCGAUCAUCUUUACUGUUGUGGGAACAAUGGUGGAUUUUGUUACGAUUAAGCUAAGACCCACAGUGACCAGCUUCAGAGAAUCCAUAUAUGGGGACAAAGAGAAGAAAGGUGGUUGGCUGAAGUUACCUGAGUGGUCUCCCAUUCAAGUACUUGAUGAGGAAGCUCUUGCUGCUAAAGAAGCUAGGGAAAAACAACUAUAUGCACAAAGAGCUCUUGGUAAAUUAAGCAAAGAAGAAUCUUGAGAAAACUCUUUUUAUUUGAACCUGAAUAUGUUGACUUAUAGUUACCAAUAAUAUAUUUGUUUGGCCUGCAAUUUUUUGGCUGAUUAGAAUUGGCUAGGAUGAAUUAAUUUUGAAGCUUUUUAUGAGGCAGGGAUUGUGUUUUCAACUUCUAUGUUCAUUACUAUACUAAUUGCUAUUUACCGGCAGAAGUGCUCGAGACAAUCUGGUUG
rnacentral:misc_RNA from 1 species